GACAGAGGGUGCUAGCGUUGCUCGGAAUUACUGGGCGUAAAGCGCACGUAGGCGGAUUGUUAAGUCGGGGGUGAAAUCCUGGAGCUCAACUCCAGAACUGCCUUCGAUACUGGCGAUCUCGAGUUCGGGAGAGGUGAGUGGAACUGCGAGUGUAGAGGUGAAAUUCGUAGAUAUUCGCAAGAACACCAGUGGCGAAGGCGGCUCACUGGCCCGAUACUGACGCUGAGGUGCGAAAGCGUGGGGAGCAAACAGG
rnacentral:rRNA from 1 species